UACGAAGGGGGCUAGCGUUGCUCGGAAUCACUGGGCGUAAAGCGCACGUAGGCGGGUUCUUAAGUCAGGGGUGAAAUCCUGGAGCUCAACUUCAGAACUGCCUUUGAUACUGGGAAUCUCGAGUCCGGGAGAGGUGAGUGGAACUGCGAGUGUAGAGGUGAAAUUCGUAGAUAUUCGCAAGAACACCAGUGGCGAAGGCGGCUCACUGGCCCGGUACUGACGCUGAGGUGCGAAAGCGUGGGGAGCAAACAGG
rnacentral:rRNA from 1 species